CUUCCCUCUCCUGGAGGAAAAUGGCGGCCGCUGGAGCCGCCGACCGAGGGGCUUGGGAGUCUGUACCUUUCCCGACCGGGCCGCUGGAAGUUGGAGCCUCCGCCGAGUCGCAGACAACGCCUCCGGGAGGGCCUUCCUGAUGCGCUUGCCUGCUCCCUGGUCUCUCUGCAUGGGGAAGUAGUGUUCCCAGCUUGCAAACUCCAGCUUUGCCUGUGAGGGGAACAAGCGUCCCUGAUCCAGAAGGUGCCCCAUCUGUGGGGAGUCUCUCCCCCUCAGCAGUGGCUCUGGCUGUGAUCCUGCCUGUCCUGGUACUUCUUAUCAAGGUGUGCCUUUGCCUUAUCUGGAAGCAAAGAAGAUCAAAAGAGAAGCUUCUCUAUGAACAUGUGACGGAGACAAUCUUCUUUCAGACCAUGCUAAAGAAAAAGGAAAACUCCAUAAAGCUCUCAAGAAACUCCGGAGUGAACUGAAGUUGAAAAGAGCUGCAGCAAACUCAGGCUGGAGAAGAGCCCGGUUGCAUUUUGUGGCAGUGACCCUGGAUCCAGACACAGCACAUCCCAAACUCAUCCUUUCUGAGGACCAAAGAUGUGUAAGGCUUGGAGACAGACGGCAGCCUGUACCUGACAACCCCCAGAGAUUUGAUUUCGUUGUCAGCAUCCUAGGCUCUGAGUACUUUACAACUGGCUGCCACUACUGGGAGGUGUAUGUAGGAGACAAGACCAAAUGGAUUCUUGGGGUAUGUAGUGAGUCAGUGAGCAGGAAGGGGAAGGUUACUGCCUCACCUGCCAAUGGACACUGGCUUCUGCGACAGAGUCGUGGGAAUGAGUAUGAAGCUCUCACAUCCCCGCAGACCUCCUUCCGCCUUAAAGAGCCUCCACGGUGUGUGGGGAUUUUCCUGGACUAUGAAGCAGGAGUCAUCUCUUUCUACAAUGUGACCGACAAGUCCCACAUCUUUACUUUCACCCACAAUUUCUCUGGCCCCCUUCGCCCUUUCUUUGAACCUUGCCUUCAUGAUGGAGGAAAAAACACAGCACCUCUAGUCAUUUGUUCAGAACUACACAAAUCAGAGGAAUCAAUUGUCCCCAAGCCAGAAGGGAAAGGCCAUGCUAAUGGAGAUGUGUCCCUGAAGGUGAACUCUUCCUUACUACCCCCAAAGGCCCCAGAGCUGAAGGAUAUAAUCCUGUCCUUGCCCUCUGACCUUGGCCCAGCCCUUCAGGGGCUCAAGGUUCCUUCUUUUUAGGGAUAUGCCACAUUACCUGCUCCCAUCACCAUCCAGCCCAUCACCCUGGACUUCAGUCGCCUGGCCCAACCCCAUGAUUAUGGAACGUCUCUUCACCUUAACCCAAAUCCAGACCCUUUUGUGGUUUCUAUUUGUACCAAUUUUCUCCCAGGACCCAGUUCUGAAGCUUACCUUUCUUCUAAGGAAUUGAAGUUCCCAGUGACCUGGAGGGAGGAUUCCUGGAAACCAAACAAUCAGUUUAGGUGUAGGUGGAGAUGUUGAAUAUGUGUUACCAAGAUACAGCACAGGUUCAGGGAAAAGAGUUCUCUACUCCAGGGGUUAUUUAGAAGACACUUUCUCUGCAUCAGCCUGCCCUCAAGCUUUAGUCAAGAAGUUAUGGCCCCCAGUCCCUGACUUCUUACUUAUCCCAUUGAGGACUGCCUUUCUCUCUUUCUCUCUCUCAGUUCUGGCCUCUGCCCCGCAAAGUCAGCUUUCUAAAAGCAAGCAUGUUUUAGACCACUCACUCUUUCCCUCUUCCUUCAGGAAUGAGUUGGGAAAGGCUGAUGAGUAAAACAUACCAUCCUUUUCUAUUUUCUUGAUGCUGUUUAUGACGUAGUUUGCUGAUAUCCAGAGCUAAUGUACAUGCUUUCAAAAGCUAAUCUGCCUGUUGAUGAUAACUAGGUACAGGGACUUUAAACACAGUUGCUAUAAUCCUGAAAAGCCUCAGGAGCACAUCAGGGAGCUGGGAAGCACAGCUGCAGAGAGGUCAGCUGUGUAUUGCCCUCUGACUUUGGCCUAGACCUUCAGAGGCUCAGUCUGUUGAGUCUGUUGUGACUGUCUUAUGAAUCAAUCUGUUGUGCCAACCCUUUCUGAGAUUCAGAGAGGCCCAACUAGAAAAAGUGGCACUUUUAACCACCAACGUAGAAGCUUUUUUUUCCCCCACAAGACCACUGUACUGGAAUACUUGACUAUUUGUGUAGCAAACAGCCUCUUAGGUUGGAGAGUAUUAAUUUCAAAUAGGAAGUUGGUAGACUAGGUGUGAGGAUGAAAUAAUGACCUUGAUUUUUGGGUGUGUAUUGCAGAAGCCUAGUCACUUUCAAGUCACACCACAUAUGCGAUCUGGCCUAAUCGUGGAGAUAUUGGUUAUCAGUUUGCAGAUGAAUACACAGUUCUAUCCAACAGAAACUGUAUGUUUCUGUUUGUCAGAAGUUCUCCAUUAGUUCCUGUAUUAGUCAAGGUUUUCCAGAGAAAUAGAAUCAAUAUAUAUUGGGGCAGGGGGGUGGUGGUUAUUAUAAGGAAUUGGCUCACAUGAUUAUGGAGGCGGUUAAAUCCCAAGAUCUGCAGGGUAAGUCAGCAAGAUGGAGUCCCAUGAGAGCUGAUGGUUUAGUUCCAGUCUGAUGGCAGCAGGCUUGACACCAAGGAAGAGCUGAUGUUUAAUUCAAGUCCGAAGGCAGGGAAAAAGCUGAUGGCCCUGUCCAAAGGCUAUUAGGCAGGAAGAAUUCUCUUAGUCAGGGCAGAGUUAGCUCUUUUGUUCUAUUUGGGCCUUCAACUGAUUCAAUGAGGCCCGCCCACAUUUGGGAGGACGGUCUGCAUUACUCAGUCUACUGAUUUGAAUGUUAAUGUCAUUGAAAAACACCCUCACAGGAACACUCAGAAUAAUGUUUGACCAAAUAGCUGGGCAUCUUGUGACCCAGUUAAGCUGAUACAUAAGAUUAACUAUCACAGUGACUCAGUGGAAUUUUUUGUUUGCUUUUGUACAGUUUUAAAAUAAAAGUUUGGUAUUUG
rnacentral:sRNA from 1 species